CGUGUGGUGUUCAUCAAUAAAUAAGCAGAUGCCUGGCAACACUGGUGCGCAUGAUGGCGGCCGCUGUGUUACGGGCGCUCUGUAUGGACCGAAUAAUAAAUUGUUUUAUUUACCUAUAAUUAAUAUAAUUCCUCUAAAAGCAAACUAGAUUAAUGAUGUUAAGUGAACAUCACAAGUGGCGACGAGGUAAAACCGUGAGUACCUGAAAUUAUUCGCAAUAUGCAAAUUGAGGAAAUAUUGGUGCCAUAUUGGUUUGUAAACAGGGCCGACGAUUUGCAAAACGAACGCAUGUAUAUCAUAACAAAAUAAAGUACAAAACAAUGAAAUCGUGAGAAAUACAAGAUAUGAGUGACUUUCAGAUGCCUGUAACGGGUGUAACUCGGAGGCGUCUGAGGAUUAGUAAAUGGUGUAUGGUUCUUUUGGACAUUGAACCAAAUAAAGUACAUUGGCAGAUGACGAAUGUUGAAUUUUAUAAUACAGUCUGUUGAAAUAAAUAGAGUAAUUCGUCAAAAUUAAUUUGAUAAUAUAGAAAUACCUAAGUAUAUGGAAAUACAAUAUAAGAUUAAGUCAUAACUAAAAGUUAUUUUUCUUUUUAAAAGGGAAGAAUGGAUAAUUGUGUCAAAUAUUAGAUUCCUUAUCUAUUUCAUAUGGUAAAAUACAAGAUGUUCUAUGAAAUAAUAACUUGUAUUUUGUAGAAGUUUCUGUUUCAAAUACUUCCUUACAUUUUAUGCAAGAAUACAUGUACCUAUGUAGUUGCCUUGCAAACUAUAAACGAUGUACAUAUUCACCAGCAAAAUAGAAAUUUUCUUGUUUCCAUAUUUCCAAAAGGUCUAAGUACCUGCUGUAGGUAUUGCAUAGUAAAGUCUGUUUUGUGCUUGGAGUAUGAUGGUCAAACUAAGAACAUUUGUGUUGACCUUUAACGGAUCUCAUGUAAACAUUAAUGAUUCUCAAAAUAUACUGGCACAAAUGAUAUAAUUAAUUACAAUGUUUGUCAUCUAGGCUAUUCAAUUCAAGAUCUAUGAGCGAUUGCAGUGAUUGUGUGUACAUAUAUAGGUACAUAAAAUGCCAACAAGUUAUUGGCUUAGGCUGAUGCCGAAAGUAUGAUGUUAACAACUUGUGCGCCAAGUUGUAAAACAACAUCAUAAACCCCAUAAAAUGAUGGGAAUUAAUCGUUGGAAACGAAAAAUGUCGAAAUGACUAAUGGCUGCUGCCGGACAUAUGAUGUUAACGACUUAUACGCCAAGUCGUAAAGUAAUAACAUCAUAAACCCCAUAAAAUGAUGGGAACUAAUGGUUGGUCGCGAAUCAACAAGAUGGCUAAUGGGAAAUUCCCAUACCUACAUAAAUAAUGAUGUAAGGAACUCAUAAGGUUGAGUUUGCAAAGUAAUAACAGCAUUUAAUGAUGUAAUUAAUAAUAUAAUACCAUUAAUAAAUGGAACGUAAAGAGGUGAAUGUUGUUUGUGAGUUGUAUUGUACUUUAUAAGUUCUUAACAAAUCCUGUAAUGUGUAGCUGGCAAACACAAAUUUGUUAGUAACAAGGAAUAGAAAACUACUUAACCCUUUCUUUGGGUGCUAGUUCUAGCGUAAGACAAAGACAGUAUGAUUUUGUCUAUCUAUGAUUGAAUUGAUUAAGACAGCCAGUCCCUGGCCAAACUAUCUAUAGUAUCUAUAGAGUCCAUUGCUAUUGUCAGAUUGACAUUGAUUGACUGUCACUUUUGACACUUGACAGAUAGAGAUUGUUUCAGAAAUGUCAUCGAAACUAUUGUGUGUUUAGUUAAAUGUAAAUAAAUUAAAGUAAUGUUCCAGAGUAGAUUCAAUACAAUAUUGAAUCUACUAGAUUUUAGAUGUACUACAGGAAUGUGUAACUGUGCUCAUUACAGUUUUGGGCAAACAUGGACUAACAGUUUGUGUAAGUUUUCAGGUUUCUUGGACAUCACAAGAUUUUCCAAACUUACGGAGCAAAAUAUAGGUAUUGGAAGUUGUUGCAAGUGUAAAAUCAUGGAUAUGUCACAAUAUGUCUUAAAUAUAAUAUAAAAAGUAUAGUUUAACACAUUCAGACCAGGUCAGCAACUUAAAUGCAAUGUUGUUAACUAUAUAUAUUUGCAAUACGUCUAUAUAGCUGUUGUACGACAUUUCCAAAGAAAUAUCAGUGACCAGAAAAGGAGACUGGUUUAGCAGCGUGAAAUAUAAGGAUCUCAUCACAUAUGGUAUGUUACGAGCUAUGUUUGGAAAGUAUAUUGUACAACCCUAAAUGUCUGGAAAUAGGGUAAGUGGAAAUAAAAGAAAAUCUCAAUGAAGUUUUGAUCCUAACUAGUGACUAUGACGGAACUGUCAAAUCAUGACUGACAGUGAUUCAAGUCACACUGUUGAAAAAUAAUUGGACAAAUCGGUGUUCAUAUUUUUGAACUUGUAUGGCCUGCAUUUGUAAAGCACUGUUUUACUGCCUGCCUGUAUAUCAAAUAAUAAAUACAUUAGGUCCGGUGAUAUAAAUCAAUUUUGUAAGGGAUUAGAUGUUUUACCCUUAUUAAAGUCAUUACAAAGUAACAAUAAAUAUCUGUUGUAAAAUUACAUAACAUGGCAGCAUUACCUUAAUCCAAAUGAUUUAAAUGGAUGUAAAAGCAAACAUCAUUACAUACCAAAUAAAAUACAUUUUUAUGGUCAUACAUUUAUGCCUUGUUAUGCUAUUUUUGCAAAAUACACCCUUACGGGACAUACCAUCCUACCAAAGCUGUUACCAAGCAAAACUGAUUUAAACAGAAAAACUUUUUAAGACUAAGUAGAUACUCUUUUGGAUGAGAUUAUUCAUCAGAAUAAAUAAUUACCUACAACUAUACUUGUAUACAGCUUAUACUAGACCAUAUAUACUACCAGCGAACUAGUCGGUUAUUGUUAUUAGUCAAGAAUAACAAAAUCAAAUUAUUACAAGUCCAUCAACUUGAUUAGUGAUUAAUGGCUCGCAAGAGACAACUGGUUGAAUUUCUCAUAUACCUACCCAAAUAGGGAUAAACACACCCAUAUCGUAACAGAUGAAUUUUCCGGAUUUCUCUUACAGGUUACAAUGCCAAAGAUACGUUGGAAUAUGCGGCUGAUAACUGGCUACAUGCUUAACAGUCCAUUUGGGAUGCGAUGGGAAACCAUGUGCGCUACAGUAUAUCGCUUGUUCGGAUUUCUGGCGGAAGGUCUGUGGAGUCACUGGAGUCCUGUUUGGUGGUCCCAAAGAUUGGUGUUGGAUUCUUUAUUAAGUAAAUAACGCAAAUGAGCCACGACAUUGUAUAUUUUUAUGUGACCAGGCAACUGGUUAAAAUGUGCAAGUUCAGAUCACAUACACGAGUACCUAUUGGGCAACAAAGGCAAGUAGAUAAAUGAACAAGUUUUGUUAAUAGAUAAGUAACACAGGAUUUUGGACCAGAUAUUCAGCAAAUUAAUUCCUUAUUACAUAAGCUUUUCAGGUUACACAUCUGUAAAGUGCAGUCAUUGUUAAUAUGAUAACAGCAAAGUCAUAGUAAGAUAUACUUAACUAUGCAUAUUUAAAUUUUCAGUAAGUAACUAUACGGUUAUACAUAAGGAAAUUAUUUAUGAACAAUGAUGUAAAAUUUAUACACUGAUUAUAGUGGGUCUCACCAGAUAAGUGACAGAAGUCUGUAGAGACAUGUUUAACGAUUAUAGGUAGCGCAUUUGCGUUAAGUCUUGCGUAUUUAUCUUUAUAUUUACUUGUAGAACUGUGCAUGAUACAGGAAUUUAAAACUAUGUGAAACUUAUUUGAAUGUUUUUCACUAUUUAUUGUUUAUUUUGAAACAUGCUAUUUUUAUGGUGUAAAUGAAAUUGCAAAGCUCUGGCUUGUUCAAGAAAGCUAUACUACGUUACAAUUUAACUAUUUGUUGAUGCUUUUGACAACCUGGUUGCAUUAAACACUACUAGGUACAAUAAGGUAUUAAUAAUACUUGUAGGGAUUUAAACUAAUAUUUUUACCUAAACUAAAUAAUAUAAAAUAUUAUUUUAACAGAAUGUAGCAAACUAAAAGUUUUAGUUACUAAAAGUGUUAUUUGGAGUGCCCAUACAGGGUUCAUAACUGUUUCUUAUUGAAAUGUACCAUCUUAUAUAUGUACCUAUGAAAGCAAUUAAUGACUGAUUACUGAUUAAAAUUAUGGAAUGGAAUGUUAGGGAUUUGAUAAGGUAACUGGCUCAUAUAUAAGUACUUUAAACUAGGUACUAAAUUAUUGCAUGGAAUUUUUAUGAAAAUAAUAUAUUCUACAUGUAUUUAGCUGUAGAGGAUUAAUAGAAAACUGAUUUUAUAUGUAUGUGGUAAUUGCUAGUAUACUCUCUCUUCCUCGCGUUAUCCCGGCAUUUUGCCAUGGGUCAUGGGAGCCUGGAGUCCGCUUGACAACUAAUCCCAAGAAUUGACGUAGGCACUAGUUUUUACGGAAGCGACUGCCAUCUGACCUCCCAAAACAGAGGGGAAACUAGGUCUUAUUGGAAUAAUUGCUAGUAUACAUUGUAAUAAAUUUUAAUUUA